GAUGAAGAACGUAGCGAAAUGCGAUAAGUAAUGUGAAUUGCAGAAUUUAGUGAAUCAUCGAAUCUUUGAACGCACAUUGCGCCUGCCAGCACUCUGGCAGGCAUGCCUGUUCGAGCGUCAUUUCAACCAUCAAGCCCUAGGCUUGCGUUGGAGCCCUGCGGCUGCCGCAGGCCCCUAAAAGCAGUGGCGGGCUCGCUAUCACACCGAGUGCAGUAGAUUACUCUUCGCUCAGGGCGUGUGGCGGGUUCCAGCCGUGAAACCCCCUACUUCUCAAGGUUGACCUCGGAUCAGGUAGGAAUACCCGCUGAACUUAAGCAUAUCAAUAAGCGGAGGA
rnacentral:misc_RNA from 1 species